rnacentral:rRNA from 1 species
AGCGAACGCUGGCGGCAGGCUUAACACAUGCAAGUCGAACGGGCGUAGCAAUACGUCAGUGGCAGACGGGUGAGUAACGCGUGGGAACGUACCUUUUGGUUCGGAACAACCCAGGGAAACUUGGGCUAAUACCGGAUAAGCCCUUACGGGGAAAGAUUUAUCGCCGAAAGAUCGGCCCGCGUCUGAUUAGCUAGUUGGUGAGGUAACGGCUCACCAAGGCGACGAUCAGUAGCUGGUCUGAGAGGANGAUCAGCCACAUUGGGACUGAGACACGGCCCAAACUCCUACGGGAGGCAGCAGUGGGGAAUAUUGGACAAUGGGCGCAAGCCUGAUCCAGCCAUGCCGCGUGAGUGAUGAAGGCCCUAGGGUUGUAAAGCUCUUUGUGCGGGAAGAUAAUGACGGUACCGCAAGAAUAAGCCCCGGCUAACUUCGUGCCAGCCGCCGCGGU